rnacentral:rRNA from 1 species
AUGGAAAUGGAAGGCGACGGCACAGAGACAGCGGACGCCUACGCCAGGUACGAGGCGAUCGCUUCCUCCCUCCCGACGUCGGCGUGCCAGGGCCUGGGGGCCGCCGCGUACAAGAACCACCGCGGCUUCUGGUACCCGGCGCACCAGAUGGCGCCGACGCUCGCCGUGCGGGACACCUUCGUCGCCCGCCCCACCGACAUCCUAGUCGCCACCCUGCCCAAGUCCGGCACCACGUGGCUCAAGGCGCUCGUGUUCGCCAUCGCGCACCGCCGCGUGCACACCCCGGUAGCGGACGGCACGGGGCAACGGCGCCACCCGCUCCUGGGCUCCAGCCCCCACGACCUCGUCCCCUUCCUGCACUACGUCUACGAGAAGCACCGGUCGGCCGCGGUCCCGCUCCUGGAGGCGAUGCCGGCGCCGCGCGUCCUGGCCGUGCACGCGCCGCUGUCGGCGCUGCCGGCGUCCGUGGCCGGGUCCGGCUGCCGCGUCGUGUACAUGUGCCGGGACCCCAAGGACGCGCUCGUCUCUCUCUGGCACUACCUCCGGAAAGCCAACCGUCCUGGCGCCACCGCGGCGUCGCUCGAGGAGCUGCUCGCGGCGUUCUGCGACGGCGUCUCGCCGUUCGGGCCGGCGUGGGAGCACGUGGCCGAGUACUGGAGGGAGAGCUUGGCGCGGCCGGAGCAGGUCAUGUUCCUCCGGUACGAGCACCUCAAGGAGGACACGAUGGGGAGCGUGAAGCGGCUCGCCGAGUUCCUCGGCUGCCCGUUCACGGGCGAGGAGGUGGCCGGGGGCGUCCCCGAGGCCGUGGCGGCGCUGUGUGGCAUAGAGCGGAUGAGGAGCGUGGAGGCGAACCGCACCGGCGAGUACGGGGUUCACUGGAAGUUCAGCAACUCCGCAUUCUUCAGGAAUGGGGAGGUUGGGGACUGGAAGCAGCACAUGACGGCCGAGAUGGCGCAGAGAAUCGACGGCAUCAUGGAUGGUAAGUUGCGGGGCAUUGGCCUCUCGCUUAUCACUGAACCAAAGCAAAUUCUGAAUGAAAAUUAA